GCGUGCUGCAGGAAGUGGCUCUGUGGGCAGCAGGAUUCGCUUCUCUCACUCAGACCCCGCCACGAAGACGGGUCCCUGGCAGAGGAGCGGUGUUUCUGGCAAAACGGAGGACAAGCAGCACUGAAACACGCUAAGGAUUCUGAUCAGCCAAAGUGUCUCACACCUCUGCAGGGAAGAAAUCUUUCUGGAGGCUCAGUAAUUUUUUGGUGCAAGGGCUGACCAAGCUGUGGAGUUUCUCUCCUGCGUCAGCAUCCCUGUGGAAAAAUCCAGUGUUGGGGAACUGAAGAUGGGAGUUUGCACUUGCAACCAUCCGACUCCUUGUCUUUAUGGCUGCACACUACUACCUGAUGAGAACCGGACAUUUAGGAGGGAGAAAUGUAACUUUCCUGUCAAGUUUUGCUCCUUCAGAAAGGAUCCUGCUUUUUUAGUCAAUUAAGUCAGUGAAACAAGUUGUUCCAUGGGACUAAUG